GCUAGUGUAGCUUAACCCUAAAGCAUAACACUGAAG
rnacentral:tRNA from 2 species